rnacentral:rRNA from 1 species
CCUACGGCAGGCAGCAGUGGGGAAUAUUGCACAAUGGGCGAAAGCCUGAUGCAGCAACGCCGCGUGAAGGAAGAAGGCCUUCGGGUCGUAAACUUCUGUUCUUGGGGAAGAAGAACUGACGGUACCCAAGGAGGAAGCCCCGGCUAACUACGUGCCAGCAGCCGCGGUAAUACGUAGGGGGCGAGCGUUAUCCGGAAUUAUUGGGCGUAAAGAGUACGUAGGUGGCAACCUAAGUGAGGGGUUUAAGGCAAUGGCUAAAACAUUGUUCGCCCUGCACACUGGGAUGCUUGAGUGCAGGAGAGGUAUGCGGAAUGCGUGGUGUAGCGGUGAAAUGCGUAGAUAUUAGGAAGAACACCAGUGGCGAAGGCGGCUUUCUGGACUGUAACUGACGCUGAGGUACGAAAGCGUGGGGAGCAAACAGGAUUAGAUACCCCAGUAGUC